rnacentral:rRNA from 1 species
AGCGAACGCUGGCGGCAGGCCUAACACAUGCAAGUCGAACGGACCCUUCGGGGUUAGUGGCGGACGGGUGAGUAACACGUGGGAACGUGCCUUUAGGUUCGGAAUGGCUCCGGGAAACGGGUGGUAAUGCCGAAGGUGCCCUUGGGGGGAAAGAUUUAUCGCUUUUAGAGCGGCCCGCGUCUGAUUAGCUAGUUGGUGAGGUAACGGCUCACCAAGGGGACGAUCAGUAGCUGGUCUGAGAGGAUGACCAGCCACACUGGGACUGAGACACGGCCCAGACUCCUACGGGAGGCAGCAGUGGGGAAUCUUGCGCAAUGGGCGAAAGCCUGACGCAGCCAUGCCGCGUGAAUGAUGAAGGUCUUAGGAUUGUAAAAUUCUUUAACCGGGGACGAUAAUGACGGUACCCGGAGAAGAAGCCCCGGCUAACUUCGUG